GCCACUCUGUUUCUUCGUCGGAACCGAAAGCCUCCCCAAACCCCUGCGGGAGUGAGCGCUGCGCUCGAGCUCCUCGCCGCGCCGUCGCGUUGGCCGGUGGAAAUGACGCCCACAAAAGGCGAAUCGAGCAGUGAAAUCGAGCAUUUUACGAGAGGGAGAGAGCUAGAGAGAAAGAGAGAGGGAGGAAGAGCAGCGUCGACGCAGGCGGCGUCCAUCGCCGAACGCCGAGUUGGAGCACCACCAGGAGAUUUCCUCCAGGCUCCGCCGCCUCCGCCGCCUCCUCCGCCUCCUCCGCCGCCGGCGCCUCCUCCUCCGCCUCCACCGCCGCCGGCGCCUCCUCCUCCGCCUCCUCCCUCCCCCUGCCCCCCCCUCCACAUCGAGCAGUGAUGAGGAACUGGAGGAUUAUCGUAGCAGUUUGUUUGCUGCUUCCUGUUCUAGCCGCUGGCUACCAUAGGUUUUCGACUGUAGAAGAGGCCAACGCAGCGCUGCGGCGCGACCAUAUCGCCACCGGCAUCGGCCAUACGCUGGAGCAAAUGCAGCGGGGCCAGGGGAAUCUUGGAUUUAGCUCAUACUUUGGUUUUGUUUUUGCUUUCUACUCCAUGUCGGUCCUGGUCGUGGCUGGAGUGUGGGAUCACUUAACAGCAUUGUUUGGAGCAGUUGACGGCGAAUAUAUACUUGCAUUUACCACGAUGCUUGUUAUCUCCGGUUUUAUCGUGGCGACCAGCAUCCGCUUCAUGUUACAUAGUCUAGCACCAUGAUCGCUGACACCACAAAGCGCCUCUGCAAUGUGUAAGGUGUCAGAUGUCACACAGUUGAUUACCAUGAUUGCGAGGCAGAGCUUGUUCCUGUCCUGUACAUAGGUCAGUGCAGUUCCCAUUUCGGGAGGAAUCGGGUGGCGAUGGCUUACGGUCGUCAUGACUCUGGUUGAGGUCUGUUGCUGCCGUCGAUUCUUCCUCAUGUGGAAUUGUGCCUGGACUAUGCUAGCGUUCUUCUUUCAGCGGCUGCGCCAUUGAUGUUCCUACUGGGCUGCCUGUUCUGUUGACUCUGCCAUUGUCAGGCCUUGUCUUCGACUUCCCGAGUCCGUUCUGUUGCCAGCUUUGUUGACUCACGACUAUUGCCAGGUAGGAUAUGUGUGUGUGUAUUACACUGUCAGCUGUGGCUUCUCUGUUCGCAGUUAGGGGCCUUGACGUGUAGCUUUUAGUUUCCUUCAUUGCUCGUGCAUUUGUUUGUUUUAUUCCUUGGGUUGUAUCUGUAUUUGGUGCCUAGCUAUUGUAUAACCGGCGAUGCCAUGAAAUAAAUGAUGAAUUGUUUA